GGAGAGUGAGACAGAGAGAGGGAGAGAGAGACGAGACAGAGAGAGGGAGAGAGAUUCUCUCUCUCUGUCUCUCUUUCCCUCUGUCUGUGUCUCUCUCCCU
rnacentral:pre_miRNA from 1 species